AAAAGGCUUAGUGGCGGACGGGUGAGUAACGCGUGGGUAACCUGGCCCAUACAGGGGGAUAACACUUAGAAAUAGGUGCUAAUACCGCAUAACAACAGAGAGCGCAUGCUCUUUGUUUGAAAACCAAGGUGGUAUGGGAUGGACCCGCGUCUGAUUAGCUGGUUGGCGGGGUAAAGGCCCACCAAGGCGACGAUCAGUAGCCGGCCUGAGAGGGUGGACGGCCACAUUGGGACUGAGACACGGCCCAAACUCCUACGGGAGGCAGCAG
rnacentral:rRNA from 1 species